UGAAAUCCGCGUCGUCGGAGAUCUUCUGCACCUUCCACCUCUUGAUUGGCCACCGGGAGAGGACGGCGUUGCCGUACUGGGGAGCCCAGCUCUCGGCGAAGACGUACCUCAUCCCGAGCCCCUCCGCCAGGUCCGACAGCGGGCUCAUCCCAUUUUCCUCCUCCGCCUUCACGUUCUGCAGGGCCAGGAUGUCGGCGUUGACCUCCCUCAGCACCUCCAGGAUGCUCCGCUCGCUGCGGGGGAACGGGUGACCACCACCGCCGCCGCCGCCGCCGCCGCCGCCUCUGGCCGGGGAGCCCGGGGCCGAGCUCAUCGGAGCCUUCCCGCUGUGGGUCCUCAACAACACGCCGCCGCCACCGCUGGAAUUCA
rnacentral:lncRNA from 1 species